UACACCAGUUUAACUGUAUUUAAAGUAUGACUUUUUCUAUGUAAAUUAGGCUAAUAUUGUAUCUUAUCUUCAAAAAUCAAUGCUAAUAUUUUUUUUGCUAUUACUGCCCAAAGAUGCAGACAAUAAAAUAAAUGUAGUAAAAAAGAGAUUUCAUCUGUUUUCUAGCAGCAGUAAUUCAUCACACGAUGAUUAAAUGAUGAAAGAAGAGCAUUGUAACUUUUAGUUAGUCCACCUAGACAUUCUACUAACUAUAAGUAUCUUUGCAACUACAUGUCAACUAGCGUCAUUAGAGUAUUAGCGACUGUCUCCAAGAUUUUAUUUUGAACCAACAUUCCACUGACCAUAAGUAACUUUUCAAGUACAUGUCAGCUUAUUUUACUAAUCCUAACCUUACAGUCUACUAAUACUCUAAUGAGAGUUAGUUGACAUGUACUUGCCGUGCUACUUAGUAUAACUUCUGGAGUAUCAAAAUAAAGUGUAACUUUAUAUCCCGAUAUAUCAUGCAGUCAAGAGCACUUUAAUCACUGUUUCAGGUGCCUAGCAUUGCUGUAUGUACAUUCCCAGUAAGGUACGCCAGAUUGCAGUUGUCUGCUGUUUCAAAAAUGCCUUGAAGUUAUGUAUAUAUAUAUAUAUCAUACUAGCUCUCCUCCAUUAUUUUCAUGAACCAUGUAAACAAACAAAGUAUUUAUUUUAUUUCUUUUAAAAUUCAAUGUUUUACCAUAUGACAUAUUUUGUUUUACUGUAUGACAUAGUACAAUUUCAAUGUUUCAUUGCAUUUUUAAUAUAAUAAAUUGAUGUAGGCCAAUUCAGAAUGAAUGUUUCCUCUGCCGUUGCCUGCGUGUACACGUACAUUUAUUGAUAUUUAUUCAUAAAUGUACAUACAAACAGUGUUGGGGGUAACGCAUUACAAGUAACGUGAGUUACGUAAUCAGAUUACUUUUCUAAAGUAACUAGUAAAGUAAUGCAUUACUUUUUAAUUUAGAAGCAAAUAUCUGAGUUACUUUUUCAAAUAAGUAAUGCCAGUUACUUUGUUUCCCAUGUAUUGACUGACAGCUCUCGUGCUGCCAUGUUGAGAGAAAUCGUGCAGAGCGUUGUGUGUGAAUAUGAAGUUACUGUAGUUCUAGACUAAACAUGAACAUGCAUUUACUCAUCUCACCUGCACAAAAACAGAUUCAGUAUUCCUCAAAAUGAAUAAAAACAGUCAAAUGCAAACUCAGAAUAUUAUACAAAUCUGCAAUAAUUAAAUAUGUUAAAUAAGACAAAUAUCAUUUUUUUGUAUUUAAUCCCAUUUUAUUAACCAAUGUCUUUGUUACUGACUUUCGAUGAUCCAAUUCAACCAUACUAAUAAGAAAAAAUGACACAUUUGUGUUUAAUUUUUGUCAUUGCUGAAUAGUGUUGAAGUUUCUUUUCCUGCGUCAUAUUUUUCAUGCAAUUUGUUUGAGCGUCGCCCUCUACUGUACAGAUGUGAAUUUACAUUUCCUUCAGCCUGAGGCGUAUUAAUUUUACUUUUGGUGUGAAAGGGCUUUUACAUUUAUAAAAGAAGAACUUUUUUAUAUUAAAAACAAACAAGCGAGCCCUGUCCAGAUUUAAAAAGUAACUCAAAAGUAAAGGAACACAUUACUUACCAUACAAAGUAACUAAGUAACGUAAUUAGUUACUUUUUAAGGAGUAACGUAAUAUCGUAAUGCAUUACUUUUAAAAAGUAACUUUCCCCAACACUGCAUACAAAUACACAAACAUACAUUUAUAUAUAUGUAUAUUUACACACACACACACGCAUACACACACACACACACACACACACACACACACACACACACACAUGAAUAAUAUAUCUAUAUAUAUGAAGCCACUUUCCAGAAACAUUGUGAUGCUGACUUCAACUCAGUUCUAUAGAUAAGAUACUGCCUAUACUGACAAAACUGGCACAUCCUGACAUUACUGACAUCAUAUACUCUCACAGUUAUACCUUUCCCUCCUCUUAGCUAGGUUCUCCUCUCUAGCUGCAGGAUCUGCCCUUUGCUUUGCACUGAAACGUGCACCCCUCUCCUUACUAGAAAGAGGCAUCUGUAAUAAUGUGAAAAAAUGCUUGAAAUAGGCAGAAAUAUAUUAUAUAUGUUAAUAUUAAUUCAUAGUAGUUGUACAAACUAUAUAUGUGAUAAAACAAUUAAGAAAUAACUAAAUAAUUCAGUUAAAUGCUCUGUGUCAUAUGGUAUAACAACAUGUCAUACGGUAAAAUCGUUUGUCCGUAUGACAUUUUUUGUUUGCCCUUAUGACAGUUUCAUGCUUUGUCAUUUAUAACAGGCAGUUGCUUGGCCACCUCUUUCCACCAUUACACUUUACCUUGACCUUUUAACUUUAUAUUUCACCUGUAAAUCAAUAUUUUUUCAAAUUUUAAAUGUAUUAAAUCCUUUUUUGACGUUUGACCCUAUGACACCCAAAUCUGUGACACAUGGUAACACACUUGGAAAAGGUGAAAUUACCUGAAAUUUGGGAGCAAAAUCUUAAACUUACCUUCAACUUGGCUGGUCUUCAGGGGUCCUCUGAGUGAUGUCAUCACAUGUCACAUGACUUAAGUCAUUAAUAUUAAGUUCCAAAAUGGCUUCCAAACUUUGUUUUACCGUAUGACAUAGGGAAAAUGUGUCUUUGCGGAACAAUUUGUUUUAGAUACUAAUGACAUUUCUUAAAGGUCUAUCUUACUGAUACUUUAAUAUGCUUAUCUUAAGACUUGAAAAAAUAUGCCAAAUUAAAAAUUUUAUCAUUUUUAAAUAUUUUUAAUCAUUUUAAAUGCAAUUGUCUUAAAUAACUUUAAGUGAAUUCCGUUUGACCGUAUGACAUUUGACCACAUUAAUAGUCUAAAAGUUACCUAUUUUUGAAUUUUUCACACAAUUAUGAACAGUGAGGAGGACAAAUGAUGUGAGAUUAAAGCAUAUAUAUAAUUUUAAACCUAUUUUAUAUAAAUAUAUAAUAUUUAUUGCUCCUGGAAGUCCAAAUCAGUGCGGCACGUCACUGACAAUUUACAUGUAUAUACAUUUAUAUUCUUAUAUUUUAUAUUAUAUAUAAAUAUAUUUAAUAUAUAAACAUAACAUAUUCUUCUUAAAUAUAUACAUGCAUGUGUGUGUAUUUAUAUAUACAUAAUAAAUAUACACAGUAUACACACAUAUUAUGUAAACAAAACUUUUAUUUUGGAUGUGAUUAAUCGUGAUUAAUCAUUUGACAGCCCUAAUAUAUAUAUAUAUAUAUAUAUAUAUAUAUAUAUAUAUAUAUAUAUAUAUAUAUAUAUAUAUAUAUAUAUAUAUAUAUAUAGUACCUUUGUCUUACAUGUAUGUCCAUUUUUCAAAGACUUUUUUGCUUCAAAUCAAAGUUUCUAAUGUUUUGUUUCACCUUGUAACUGAUUAGUGUGUUCCAUGGCUUAUAACUCUUUAACAAAGAUUUUUAAAGUUUAUUUUGAGAUUCAGACUGCUCUGGUGGGCUAAGGUCACUUUCAGAAUACCAUUUGAAAAUAAGGUAUACUUAAGUUUUGUAAAAUUACAGUUCUAACAGACUUGUGUAAUGCUCAAUCAAAUAAGAAGGUGUUGAUGGGAUAACAAGAGAAGAGUCAUGAGGCGCUAAUAUGCCUGUGUACCUCAGGAGGCAUAUUCUGCCCAAACAGAUCUCUUCUGCGGGCCUCAUUUUUCUGUGUUUUAUAUCUUCUGCUAUUGGCAGCCUGCUGUGAGAACUCAAUUAAAGCCCUAGAGGUACGAGACCCAGCGCUGGGAUUCAGUAAACAUAAUCACAAACCUUUAUCCUGCCAAAACUAGCGUGCCAGCAUUCUCUGAUUAGCUUUUGGCUGUGCCGACUUCAAAGCAGUACGACUAUGAAUUUUACAUUUCCAUCCCUCUUUCUCUGAGGUGUGUGGACUACAGGAUUACCUUUUUCAUGGCGGCUUAUGAGAGAGAGAGAGAGAGAGAGAGACAGAGAGAGCAAAAGAUGAGAGGAGGUCAGUGACUUAGAUCUUCUUUUCUAGAAGUCUUCUGGUUGUCCUGGUGAUGGUCUCACUCUCAUGGGCUGGAGCAAAGGUUCUAGCUGGGGUUCACAGCAUUAAAUGAUUAUGAAUACAUACACUGUAUUUAUGUAUAUCUGUCAUCUCUCUCUCUACUAUCACACCAGUGUCUUUCAUGAGUGAUAAUUUAAGCUGUAACAGUGGGAGGAGCAUGUUUUAAUAUACCAGUAUCUUGGUUACAGCUGGCACAGAAAGUGUACCUGGCCAUUCUGCAACAAAGCCUGUUAGCCACUUGGUGUCAUACUUGCACACAGAAAAUUUAGACGCUGUAGAGUAAUGCAGAAAAAUGGGACAAGGCUAGUAAACGUUGAUUGCAUAAAGGGCCUGUUUACAACUGGUGUCAAGAUGCUGUUUGGUCACAAGUAGAUGAGGGAGACAAUUCCCGUGAAAUGUGUGUGUAUGAGAGGCUCUGGCAUGAUCACGCAUAUUGUCCUUAUAACAGCAGAAGAAACUAUAAUAUUCUGUCAUUUUGGUCAUUAAAAUAUGAGUAAGACAUAAUUGGAAGCUGUUUACUUUUAUGUAUACUCACAAUAAGAAAACAAAAUGCCUUUGUAAAGUGAAGAAAACAAACAGUAUGCGCUUUCAGCCGUUUCUGUUUCCUUAUACUUGUGGUGUGGACCUCCAGUAUGAUGUAUGAU
ensembl:lncRNA